ensembl:snoRNA small nucleolar RNA, H/ACA box 47
UGGAGGACUGAGAAGGUAAGACAGUUUAACUCGAUGCUGUAUCUUACUGGUUACGGCCUCCGAAAUUAUAACAGUGCAACGGCAACUCAUGUUUCCCUCCUCACGUGAGGGAAAACGAUACUGCAUUUG